rnacentral:rRNA from 1 species
AUUGAACGCUGGCGGCAGGCUUAACACAUGCAAGUCGAGCGGGGUGAUGGUGCUUGCACUAUCACUUAGCGGCGGACGGGUGAGUAAUGCUUAGGAAUCUGCCUAUUAGUGGGGGACAACAUCUCGAAAGGGAUGCUAAUACCGCAUACGUCCUACGGGAGAAAGCAGGGGAUCACUUGUGACCUUGCGCUAAUAGAUGAGCCUAAGUCGGAUUAGCUAGUUGGUGGGGUAAAGGCCUACCAAGGCGACGAUCUGUAGCGGGUCUGAGAGGAUGAUCCGCCACACUGGGACUGAGACACGGCCCAGACUCCUACGGGAGGCAGCAGUGGGGAAUAUUGGACAAUGGGGGGAACCCUGAUCCAGCCAUGCCGCGUGUGUGAAGAAGGCCUUAUGGUUGUAAAGCACUUUAAGCGAGGAGGAGGCUCUUUUGGUUAAUACCCAAGAUGAAUGGACGUUACUCGCAGAAUAAGCACCGGCUAACUCCGUGCCAGCCGCCGCAGUAA